rnacentral:rRNA from 1 species
AAUCAACGCUGGCGGCGUGCCUCAGACAUGCAAGUCGAACGAGAAAGUCCCCUUCGGGGGGUGAGUAAAGUGGCGCACGGGUGAGUAACACGUAGGUAAUCUACCUUCGGGUGGGGAAUAACCCAGGGAAACUUGGGCUAACACCGCAUAAUGCAGCGGCACCACAUGGUGACAGUUGUUAAAGCGGGGGAUUUUAGGACCUCGCGCCUGAAGAGGAGCCUGCGGCGGAUUAGCUAGUUGGUAGGGUAACGGCUUACCAAGGCGACGAUCCGUAACCGGCCUGAGAGGGCGGUCGGUCACACUGACACUGACAUACGGGUCAGACUCCUACGGGAGGCAGCAGUCGGGAAUUUUGGGCAAUGGGCGAAAGCCUGACCCAGCAACGCCGCGUGAAGGAUGAAAUCCCUCGGGAUGUAAACUUCGCAAGAAUAGGAAGAAUUAGUAGGGCUAAUACCCUCUAUGAUGACGUACUAUUU